AUUGAACGCUGGCGGCAGGCCUAACACAUGCAAGUCGAGCGGAGCGGCGGACGGGUGAGUAAUGCCUAGGCAUCUGCCUGGUGGUGGGGGAUAACGUCCGGAAACGGGCGCUAAUACCGCAUACUAUCAGAUGAGCCUAGGUCGGAUUGGCUAGUUGGUGGGGUAAAGGCCUACAAAGGCGACGAUCGGUAACUGGUCUGAGAGGAUGACCAGUCACACGGGAACGGAGAACCGGUCCAGCUUCUUACGGGAGGCAGCAUUGGGGAAUAUUGGACAAUGGGCGAAAUCCGGAUGCAGCCAGGCCGCGUGUGUGAAGAAGGUCUUCGGAUUGUAAAGUACUUUAAGUGGGGAGGCGUUACCAACAGAAGAAGCACCGGCUAACUUCGUGCCAGCCGCCGCGGUAAUUC
rnacentral:rRNA from 1 species